UACGGAGGAUGCAAGCGUUGUCCGGAAUGAUUGGGCGUAAAGCGUCCGCAGGUGGCUAUGUAAGUCUGCUGUCAAAGCGUCUGGCUCAACCAGAUAAAGGCAGUGGAAACUACAUAGCUAGAGUAAGGUAGGGGUAGAGGGAAUUCCUGGUGUAGCGGUGAAAUGCGUAGAGAUCAGGAAGAACACCGGUGGCGAAAGCGCUCUGCUGGACCUUAACUGACACUGAGGGACGAAAGCUAGGGGAGCGAAUGGG
rnacentral:rRNA from 1 species